rnacentral:rRNA from 1 species
GACGAACGCUGGCGGCAUGCCUAAUACAUGCAAGUCGUGCGAAUUGACGAAGUACUUGUACUUCUGACGUUAGCGGCGAACGGGUGAGUAACACGUAAGGAAUCUACCUAUAAGCGGGGGAUAACAUUCGGAAACGGAUGCUAAUACCGCAUAAUACAUAUUUCCGCAUGGAAAUACGUUGAAAGACGGCUCUGCUGUCACUUAUAGAUGACCUUGCGGUGCAUUAGUUAGUUGGUGGGGUAAUGGCCUACCAAGACGAUGAUGCAUAGCCGCCCUGGGAGGGUGAUCGGCCACAUUGGGACUGAGACACGGCCCAAACUCCUACGGGAGGCAGCAGUAGGGAAUCUUCCGCAAUGGGCGAAAGCCUGACGGAGCAAUGCCGCGUGAGUGAAGAAGGCCUUCGGGUCGUAAAACUCUGUUAUAAGAGAAGAACAAAUUGUAGAGUAACUGCUACAGUCUUGACGGUAUCUUAUCAGAAAGCCACGGCUAACUACGUGCCAGCCGCCGCAGUAACAC